rnacentral:lncRNA from 12 species
AAACAGUUGAAGUUGCCAGAACCUGUGGUUGACAGAAGGCCAAGACACCAGGGGCAAGGACAAAGAGCAUUGACCACAGAGGAUGUUUUAGACACUGUCAGAGAAGGGGCUGUGGACCAGGGGACGUCCAGUAACCUGUUGCCAAACUGGGGCACACUGUUCCUUGAGUGUGCCCACCUGGGCUGGCUCUGCCUGUGGAGAAUUGGCUCGCUUCAAAGCUUCGGUUGGGAAAUGGCAAGCUGUGGUCUGACUCCGCACCACGCCACGUCUCCUCCAGCUCCUGGAAGGCAUCUGGGCUGGGGUGAGAGUAUGCAUGUAGCUCGCGUGACUUCCAUGUGCUGAGGCUGCAGAUCUUAUGUGCUGAAUGAGUCCCUGUGAGCUAAUCCUAUGGAGUCUCUGGUGCACACAUGUGUCCGCUUAGCUAAGACUAUUUUUGUGAGAUGAAAUGAAGGGAAUCACCAAAUAAGUUGUGCACACUUCUAAGCCCCUAAUUUUUUGGUAAUUUAUCUUCUUUUUCUGUCAUCAACGUGUUUUUUCAAGUUGAAAGAACAGUUUGUUCAAAGGGGUCUAAGUGAUGCCAGUUGCAUUUUCUAAGGGAAGCCUGCAGGGCGAGGAAAGCAGUAAUUUAAGAACUAUAAGAAAAUAUAGCAGGUCGUGUCUACAUCUAACGGGGUUUAUAAUUGUGUGAUCAAUCACAGUAAUGUAACUAAAGCCUGGUAUUCCUGGCUCCAUUUAAAUUAAAUUAAAUAAUUUUAAAUCCUACAGCAUAGAUUCUCUCCUCAAGUACAUUUGUCGCUGUUUUGAUGUUAAUUAUCCACAUCACUCAAAUAAUUACCACCUAACUUGUUUAUAACACAAGGUAUGCUGUAACUACUACCUCAAGGAAGCUAAAUGGUCCUUUUAUCGGCUAGGGCAGUUGGCUAAGUGGCUUAAUUGUAUCAGAGAAAAUCGCUAGAAUAAUAAGUGAAUUUGCAGAGUUGGAUAGUAUCAGAUGAAGGCAAUACUUUAGAGGAAAAACUGCAAUUCAGUUAAAAAAUAUUUUCUUGCAGGUUCCUAAAGCAGCAUUUGCAAACUGGCAAUCCUCAGAUAACUGGGCCUGAGGUGCAAUCUGUUAAAAAAAAAAAAAAAUUCCUAUGUCAAAAACAUUUUGGGAACUCAGAGAAAUGAUAUGAAAAUUGGCACUGCAUAGCUGAAAUCCAUAUGAUGUGUAAUAGGAAUCAACGCUCAGAGAAGGUUUGCUGUUAAAAAAAAAACAAAACUGUUCAAUUUUGUUUCCCUAAUUUAUUUGAUUAUUAAGUUGUUCUUAGCUUAGUUAGUUCUUAGUUCUUAGUUCUUUUUUUUUUUUUUUUGAGAUUUAUUUAUCCAUUUUAGAGAGCGAGCGAGAGAGCAGUGAGCAUGCACAUGUGUGGGGAGUGGGGGAGAGAAUUUCAAGCAGAUCCCUCCCUCCUCCCAGCACAUAUCCCAACCUGGGGACCUGAGAUCGUGACCAGAGCUGAAAUCAAGUGUCCCACAGGAACCAACUGAGCCACCCAGGUGCCCCUAGGUGGUUGUUUUAACCGACUAGCAAGGUUUUAAGCAUUUUUUUCUUCUAUAAAGGGCCAUAUAAUAAAUAGUUGAGGCUUCGUGGACUGUGUGGAUCU